rnacentral:rRNA from 1 species
UGGGGAAUAUUGGACAAUGGGCGCAAGCCUGAUCCAGCCAUGCCGCGUGAGUGACGAAGGUCUUCGGAUUGUAAAGCUCUUUUUGCCAGGGACGAUAAUGACGGUACCUGGAGAAUAAGCCCCGGCUAACUUCGUGCCAGCAGCCGCGGUAAUACGAAGGGGGCUAGCGUUGUUCGGAAUUACUGGGCGUAAAGCGCACGUAGGCGGAUUUGUUAGUCAGGGGUGAAAUCCCGGGGCUCAACCUCGGAACUGCCUUUGAUACUGCAAGUCUCGAGUCCGAUAGAGGUGAGUGGAAUUCCUAGUGUAGAGGUGAAAUUCGUAGAUAUUAGGAAGAACACCAGUGGCGAAGGCGGCUCACUGGAUCGGUACUGACGCUGAGGUGCGAAAGCGUGGGGAGCAAACAGGAUUAGAUACCCACGUAGUCCCUGAGCGGGCUGGCAAGGCGCAU